rnacentral:rRNA from 1 species
CGGGAAACUGAGUACAAUGCCCGAUAGAACACUAUACCUGGAAUGGUUUGUGUUCCAAAUGAAUGUCGCCGUAGGAUGGGACUGCGGCCUAUCAGUUUGUUGGUGAGGUAAUGGCCCACCAAGACUAUUACAGGUACGGGCUCUGAGAGGAGUAGCCCGGAGAUGGGUACUGAGACACGGACCCAGGCCCUAUGGGGCGCAGCAGGCGAGAAAACUUUGCAAUGUGCGAAAGCACGACAAGGUUAAUCCGAGUGGUUUGUGCUAAACGAACCUUUUGACAGUCCUAGAAACACUGUUGAAUAAGGGGUGGGCAAGUUCUGGUGUCAGCCGCCGCGGUAAAACCAGCACCUCAAGUGGUCAGGAUGAUUAUUGGGCCUAAAGCAUCCGUAGCCGGCUCUGUAAGUUUUCGGUUAAAUCUGUACGCUCAACGUACAGGCUGCCGGGAAUACUGCAGAGCUAGGGAGUGGGAGAGGUAGACGGUACUCGGUAGGAAGGGGUAAAAUCCUUUGAUCUAUUGAUGACCACCUGUGGCGAAGGCGGUCUACCAGAACACGUCCGACGGUGAGGGAUGAAAGCUGGGGGAGCAAACCGGAUUAGAUACCCGGGUAGUCCCAGCUGUAAACUAUGCAAACUCAGUGAUGCAUUGGCUUGUGGCCAAUGCAGUGCUGCAGGGAAGCCGUUAAGUUUGCCGCCUGGGAAGUACGUACGCAAGUAUGAAACUUAAAGGAAUUGGCGGGGGAGCACCACAAGGGGUGAAGCCUGCGGUUC